rnacentral:rRNA from 1 species
UACGUAGGUGGCAAGCGUUAUCCGGAAUUACUGGGCGUAAAGCGCACGCAGGCGGUCUUUUAAGUUUGACGUGAAAGCUCCCGGCUUAACUGGGAGAGGUCGUUGAAAACUGGCGAGCUUGAGGCAAUGAGAGGGGUGUAGAAUUCCCGGUGUAGUGGUGGAAUGCGUAGAUAUCGGGAGGAAUACCAGUGGCGAAAGCGGCACCCUAGCGUUGUUCUGACGCUCAUGUGCGAAAGCGUGGGGAGCGAACGGG